UGUGGGGGGCGGGGGGGACCCUCAGCCCAAAUUGUGAGAGGGUGCAGGCUGGGCCGAGGGACCCCAGCCGUGCACA
rnacentral:pre_miRNA from 1 species